CAUGCAGUCGAGGGGCAGCAUGAUUGAAGCUUGCUUCAAUUGAUGGCGACCGGCGCACGGGUGAGUAACACGUAUCCAACCUUCCGCUGACUCGGGGAUAGCCUUUCGAAAGAAAGAUUAAUACCCGAUGGCAAAGGACUUCCGCAUGGAUAUCCUUUUAAAGGAUUCCGGUCAGCGAUGGGGAUGCGUUCCAUUAGAUAGUUGGCGGGGUAACGGCCCACCAAGUCGACGAUGGAUAGGGGUUCUGAGAGGAAGGUCCCCCACAUUGGAACUGAGACACGGUCCAAACUCCUACGGGAGGCAGCAGUGAGGAAUAUUGGUCAAUGGGCGAGAGCCUGAACCAGCCAAGUAGCGUGAAGGAAGACUGCCCUAUGGGUUGUAAACUUCUUUUAUACGGGAAUAAAGUCAUCCACGUGUGGGUGUUUGUAUGUACCGUAUGAAUAAGGAUCGGCUAACUCCGUGCCAGCAGCCGCGGUAAUACGGAGGAUCCGA
rnacentral:rRNA from 1 species